CUAGAACACUAUUUACAUAGCUAUAUAAAAAAUAAUAGUUUAGAUUAUGAGCAACAGCUUAAGUUGAAAGAACGGCAUUUAGAGCAGUAGGUUUUCCAAGUGCACAUUCCGUUAACAUCGAAAGAAGAGUCUAAUUGAGAAGAGUAGUGAGAAUGGAGCUGGAGCUUAAAGGAUGAAACAGACGAACUGUUACGAAUGAUCGGAGAGAGAUUGUUCCAUAGAAAGACAAUUCGGUUAAAAAAAGAGUUUCUAAAAAGAGAGGUUUUGCACGGAUUGACUUGAGACAAGUUGUCCUUGCUUGAACGGGUG